rnacentral:rRNA from 1 species
AGAGUUUGAUCCUGGCUCAGGACGAACGCUGGCGGCGUGCCUAACACAUGCAAGUCGAGCGGUAAGGCCCUUCGGGGUACACGAGCGGCGAACGGGUGAGUAACACGUGGGCAACCUGCCCUGCACACUGGGAUAAGCCUGGGAAACUAGGUCUAAUACCGGAUACGACUUCGCGAGGCAUCUUGCGAGGUGGAAAGUUCCGGCGGUGCAGGAUGGGCCCGCGGCCUAUCAGCUAGUUGGUGGGGUAACGGCCUACCAAGGCGACGACGGGUAGCCGGCCUGAGAGGGCGACCGGCCACACUGGGACUGAGACACGGCCCAGACUCCUACGGGAGGCAGCAGUGGGGAAUAUUGCUCAAUGGGCGCAAGCCUGAAGCAGCGACGCCGCGUGAGGGAUGACGGCCUUCGGGUUGUAAACCUCUUUCAGCAGGGACGAAGCGAGAGUGACGGUACCUGCAGAAGAAGCACCGGCCAACUACGUGCCAGCAGCCGCGGUAAUACGUAGGGUGCAAGCGUUGUCCGGAAUUAUUGGGCGUAAAGAGCUCGUAGGCGGUCUGUCGCGUCGGCUGUGAAAACUCGGGGCUCAACCCCGAGCCUGCAGCCGAUACGGGCAGACUAGAGUUCGGCAGGGGAGACUGGAAUUCCUGGUGUAGCGGUGAAAUGCGCAGAUAUCAGGAGGAACACCGGUGGCGAAGGCGGGUCUCUGGGCCGAUACUGACGCUGAGGAGCGAAAGCGUGGGGAGCGAACAGGAUUAGAUACCCUGGUAGUCCACGCCGUAAACGUUGGGCGCUAGGUGUGGGGGUCCUUCCACGGCCUCCGUGCCGCAGCUAACGCAUUAAGCGCCCCGCCUGGGGAGUACGGCCGCAAGGCUAAAACUCAAAGGAAUUGACGG